UCUUCCCUCUGGCGGCGUGCCUAAUACAUGCAAGUCGAGCGAACGGACGAGAAGCUUGCUUCUCUGAUGUUAGCGGCGGACGGGUGAGUAACACGUGGAUAAACUAACUAUAAGACUGGGAUAACUUCGGGAAACCGGAGCUAAUACCGGAUAAUAUUUUGAACCGCAUGGUUCAAAAGUGAAAGACGGUCUUGCUGUCACCUAUAGAUGGAUCCGCGCUGCAUUAGCUAGUUGGUAAGGUAACGGCUUACCAAGGCAACGAUGCGUAGCCGACCUGAGAGGGUGAUCGGCCACACUGGAACUGAGACACGGUCCAGACUCCUACGGGAGGCAGCAGUAGGGAAUCUUCCGCAAUGGGCGAAAGCCUGACGGAGCAACGCCGCGUGAGUGAUGAAGGUCUUCGGAUCGUAAAACUCUGUUAUUAGGGAAGAACAUAUGUGUAAGUAACUGUGCACAUCUUGACGGUACCUAAUCAGAAAGCCACGGCUAACUACGUG
rnacentral:rRNA from 1 species